CCAAGGAGUGCAACAUGCGUGCGAGUCUUGGGGUGGAAAACCCGUCGGCGCAAUGAAGGUGAAGGCAGGCAUUGGUCUGCCCAGGCGAGAGCUUCCUCGGAGGCGCAUCGUCGACCGAUCCCAGGCUACGCUGUGGCGGGAUUUGAGUAAGAGCGUGCCUGUUGCGACCCGAAAGAUGGUGAACUAUGCCUGAAUAGGGUGAAGCCAGAGGAAACUCUGGUGGAAGCUCGUAGCGAUUCUGACGUGCAAAUCGAUCGUCAAAUUUGGGUAUAGGGGCGAAAGACUAAUCGAACCAUCUA
rnacentral:rRNA from 1 species